rnacentral:rRNA from 1 species
UACGUAGGGUGCAAGCGUUGUUCGGAAUCAUUGGGCGUAAAGGGCGCGUAGGCGGGCAUGUAAGUCGAUUGUGAAAGCCCCGGGCUCAACCUGGGAAUUGCAGGCGAUACUGCAUGUCUUGAGUGCUCGAGGGGAUGAUGGAAUUCCUGGAGUAGAAGUGAAAUUCGUAGAGAUCAGGAGGAACACCAGAGGCGAAGGCGGUCAUCUGGCGAGACACUGACGCUGAGGCGCGAAAGUGCGGGGAGCAAACAGG